AACGCAUAUUGCGCCCUCUGGUAUUCCGGGGGGCAUGCCUGUCCGAGCGUCAUUACUACUCUCAAGCACGGCUUGUUUGUUGAGCUAUUUGUCCCUUUUGGGACAGGCUUGAAAUGCAGUGGCGGAUGUUGGGUCUGGUGCCCGAGUGUAUGGAGCUUUGUCACACGCUCUGAUGGCCCAGCUGGCAUUCUGUCAAAACCUUUUUAAUUUUUACAUCUGGAUUUGACCUCGGAUCAGGUAGGAAAACCCGCUGAACUUAA
rnacentral:misc_RNA from 1 species